rnacentral:rRNA from 1 species
GACGAACGCUGGCGGCGUGCUUAACACAUGCAAGUCGAACGGAAAGGCCCUGCUUUUGUGGGGUGCCCGAGUGGCGAACGGGUGAGUAACACGUGAGUAACCUGCCCUUGACUUUGGGAUAACUUCAGGAAACUGGUGCUAAUACCGGCUAGGAGCUCCUGCUGCAUGGUGGGGGUUGGAACGUUUCGGCGGUUGGGGAUGGACUCGCGGCUUAUCAGCUUGUUGGUGGGGUAGUGGCUUACCAAGGCUUUGACGGGUAGCCGGCCUGGGAGGGUGACCGGCCACAUUGGGACUGCGAGACGGCCCAGACUCCUACGGGAGGCAGCAGGGGGGAGUAUUACACAGUGGGCGGAAGCCUGAUGCAACAACGCCGCGUGCGGGAUGACGGCCUUGGGGUUGGAAACCGCUUUCGCCUGUGACGAAGCGUGAGUGACGGUAAUAGGUAAAGAAGCACCGGCUAACUACGUG